UGACAAAGAAUUGUCUCCUUCGUAAUAGC
rnacentral:piRNA from 1 species